rnacentral:lncRNA from 1 species
AAAGUUCCGUGAAGAUGAUCCCAGGGAGAGCAGUCUAGAGUAAAACAACAAAUUGAUUUUUCCUCAUGGAGUAUGUGAUAUCAAAUCUUCAUGUGGAUGAACUUGAAGUAAAACAUAAAGGAAUCUGACCUGUAUUGACCACGUCAACCAUCUCCCUCAUCCUCUGACUUCUGGCUGAAAUUGGAAAUGGACAACACCAGUAGGAGACAAAAGAUGGAGAAAAGACUAAGUUCAGGGUCUUAAUUCCCUUAUCCUAUUUGUCAUGACCAGGCUGCCCACCUCCUGGUUCCUGUAAGGCAAUCAAGUCAACAGCACCCUGUCUGUUGGUUCCAUUGUCUGCUCAUUUCUCAUGCCUUCUCAACCCAUAGGUGUGUAAAGCAGGAACAUAAAGAUGAGCAGAAGGGUUCAAAUGAAUGCCAGAUUUCACACAAAGGAAUGGAGAAGCACUGGCUAAAUACCAUGAACCAAGGAUUUUGAUACCAAGUUUUGUCACACAAAAGCAUUUAACAUUCAUUGAACUCUUACUAUAUGUCAGAAACAUAAUUUCACUCAAGCAUCCCAAUCUGCAAGGGUCAAUGCCCAGCUGGCUCACAGUAUCUCAAAACAGUAUUUGCACGGAAACUUUGAAACCAAUGAAAAUACUUAAGGUAAUUUGGAAAAUUCAGAAAAAU